rnacentral:rRNA from 1 species
UACGAAGGGUGCAAGCGUUAAUCGGAAUUACUGGGCGUAAAGCGUGCGCAGGCGGUUCUGAAAGUCAGCUGUGAAAGCCCCGGGCUUAACCUGGGAAUGGCGGUUGAAACUACAGGACUAGAAUCUGGCAGAGGGGGGUGGAAUUCCACGUGUAGCAGUGAAAUGCGUAGAGAUGUGGAGGAACACCGAUGGCGAAGGCAGCCCCCUGGGCUGAGAUUGACGCUCAGGCACGAAAGCGUGGGGAGCAAACAGG